CACGCGCGCUACACUGAUGUAUU
rnacentral:siRNA from 1 species